rnacentral:rRNA from 1 species
GCAUAUCAAUAAGCGGAGGAAAAGAAACCAACAGGGAUUACUUAGUAACGGCGAGUGAAGCGGUAAAAGCUCAAAUUUGAAAUCUUCGGAAUUGUAAUUUGACGGAUAGAAUUGCUAUUAAAAAAAGUUCACUGGAAUGUGACGCCACAGAGGGUGAUAGCCCCGUUAAUUAAAAGCACUAUAAUUCUAUUCCUAAGAGUCGGGUUGUUUGGGAAUGCAGCUCAAAGUGGGUGGUAAAUUCCAUCUAAAGCUAAAUAUUGGCGAGAGACCGAUAGCGAACAAGUACAGUGAUGGAAAGAUGAAAAGAACUUUGAAAAGAGAGUGAAAUAGUACGUGAAAUUGUUGAAAGGGAAGGGAAAGGGGGAGAUAAUUCAAGACAAUACUUCGGUGUUACUUGACCACAUCUUGCUCUUUUCACCCGUCUUGAAACACGGACCAAGGAGUCUAACGAUUAUGCAAGUAUUUGAGUAAAUCCCCAAAUGCGGAAUGAAAGUAAUUGGUCAAACCUACCCUCCUGUCCUUAUGGGCGGGAGAGGAAGCAUAAUUAUUAGGACCCGAAAGAUGGUGAACUAUACCUGGAUAGGGUGAAGCCAGAGGAAACUCUGGUGGAAGCUCGUAGCGGUUCUGACGUGCAAAUCGAUCGUCAAAUCUGGGUAUAGGGGCGAAAGACUAAUCGAACCAUCUAGUAGCUGGUUCCUGC